rnacentral:rRNA from 1 species
UACGGAAGGCAGCAGUGGGGAAUAUUGCACAAUGGGCGCAAGCCUGAUGCAGCCAUGCCGCGUGUAUGAAGAAGGCCUUCGGGUUGUAAAGUACUUUCAGUCGUGAGGAAGGUGUUAAGGUUAAUAACCUUAGCAAUUGACGUUAGCGACAGAAGAAGCACCGGCUAACUCCGUGCCAGCAGCCGCGGUAAUACGGAGGGUGCGAGCGUUAAUCGGAAUUACUGGGCGUAAAGGGCACGCAGGCGGUUAAUUAAGUUGGAUGUGAAAUCCCCGGGCUUAACCUGGGAAUGGCAUUCAAGACUGGUUAGCUAGAGUCUUGUAGAGGGGGUAGAAUUCCAUGUGUAGCGGUGAAAUGCGUAGAGAUGUGGAGGAAUACCGGUGGGCGAAGGCGGCCCCCUGGGACAAAGGACUGACGCUCAUGUGCGAAAGCGUGGGGAGCAAAC